rnacentral:tRNA from 1 species
GCCUUCGUGGUGUAGUGGUCAACACGCUGGGCGCGUAUUCCAGAGAUCCGUGGUUCAAGUCCCAGCGAAGGCG